AACGAACGCUGGCGGCAUGCCUAACACAUGCAAGUCGAACGAGAUCUUCGGGUCUAGUGGCGCACGGGUGCGUAACGCGUGGGAAUCUGCCCUUUGGUUCGGAAUAACAGUUGGGAACGACUGCUAAUACCGGAUGAUGACGAAAGUCCAAAGAUUUAUCGACAGAGGAUGAGCCCGCGUAGGAUUAGCUAGUUGGUGUGGUAAAGGCGCACCAAGGCGACGAUCCUUAGCUGGUCUGAGAGGAUGAUCAGCCACACUGGGACUGAGACACGGCCCAGACUCCUACGGGAGGCAGCAGUGGGGAAUAUUGGACAAUGGGCGAAAGCCUGAACCAGCAAUGCCGCGUGAGUGAUGAAGGCCUUAGGGUUGUAAAGCUCUUUUACCCGGGAUGAUAAUGACAGUACCGGGAGAGUAAGCUCCGGCUAACUCCGUGCCAGCAGCCGCGGUAA
rnacentral:rRNA from 1 species